AAGCUGCGGCAGCGACGCUUAUGCGUUGUUGGGUAGGGGAGCGUUCUGUAAGCCUGCGAAGGUGUGCUGUGAGGCAUGCUGGAGGUAUCAGAAGUGCGAAUGCUGACAUAAGUAACGAUAAAGCGGGUGAAAAGCCCGCUCGCCGGAAGACCAAGGGUUCCUGUCCAACGUUAAUCGGGGCAGGGUGAGUCGACCCCUAAGGCGAGGCCGAAAGGCGUAGUCGAUGGGAAACAGGUUAAUAUUCCUGUACUUGGUGUUACUGCGAAGGGGGGACGGAGAAGGCUAUGUUGGCCGGGCGACGGUUGUCCCGGUUUAAGCGUGUAGGCUGGUUUUCCAGGCAAAUCCGGAAAAUCAAGGCUGAGGCGUGAUGACGAGGCACUACGGUGCUGAAGCAACAAAUGCCCUGCUUCCAGGAAAAGCCUCUAAGCAUCAGGUAACAUCAAAUCGUACCCCAAACCGACACAGGUGGUCAGGUAGAGAAUACCAAGGCGCUUGAGAGAACUCGGGUGAAGGAACUAGGCAAAAUGGUGCCGUAACUUCGGGAGAAGGCACGCUGAUAUGUAGGUGAAGCGACUUGCUCGUGGAGCUGAAAUCAGUCGAAGAUACCAGCUGGCUGCAACUGUUUAUUAAAAACACAGCACUGUGCAAACACGAAAGUGGACGUAUAC
rnacentral:rRNA from 1 species